rnacentral:rRNA from 1 species
UACGUAGGGGGGCAAGCGUUGUCCGGAAUCAUUGGGCGUAAAGAGCGUGUAGGCGGCCCGGUAAGUCCGCUGUGAAAGUCGGGGGGCUCAACCCUCGAAUGCCGGUGGAUACUGUCGGGCUAGAGUGCGGAAGAGGCGAGUGGAAUUCCUGGUGUAGCGGUGAAAUGCGCAGAUAUCAGGAGGAACACCGAUUGCGAAGGCAGCUCGCUGGGACGUAACUGACGCUGAGGAGCGAAAGCGUGGGGGAGCGAACAGG